GACGAACGCUGGCGGCGUGCUUAACACAUGCAAGUCGAACGAAGUGGCGAACGGGUGAGUAAUACGUGGUUAACCUUCCCUCCUUUUUGGGAUAAGCCUUGGAAACGGGUUCUAAUACCGACUAAAGGGGGUUGGGCUCGCUGCCUAUCAGCUGGUUGGUGGGGUGAGGGCCUACCAAGGCGGUGACGGGUAGCCGGCCUGAGAGGGUGACCGGGCACAUUGGGACGGAGAUACGGCCCAGAGUCGUACGGGAGGGAGAAGUGGGGGCUAUGGCACAAUGGGCGACAGACUGAUGCAGCGACGCCGCGUGGGGUAUGAGGGCUGUCGGGUUGUAAACCUAUUUCGCUACCGAACGGGUAGGUGGAGAAGAAGCGACGGCUAACUACGUGCCAGCAGCCGCGGUAAUAC
rnacentral:rRNA from 1 species